UGCGCCAUAGCUCAGUUGGUAGUAGCGCAUGACUGUUAAUCAUGAUGUCGUAGGUUCGAGUCCUACUGGCGGAG
rnacentral:tRNA from 1 species